rnacentral:rRNA from 1 species
CAUCGAUGUCGACAGAGUUUGAUCCUGGCUCAGAUUGAACGCUGGCGGCAGGCCUAACACAUGCAAGUCGAGCGGCAGCGGGAAGUAGCUUGCUACUUUGCCGGCGAGCGGCGGACGGGUGAGUAAUGUCUGGGAAACUGCCUGAUGGAGGGGGAUAACUACUGGAAACGGUAGCUAAUACCGCAUGACCUCGAAAGAGCAAAGUGGGGGAUCUUCGGACCUCACGCCAUCGGAUGUGCCCAGAUGGGAUUAGCUAGUAGGUGAGGUAAUGGCUCACCUAGGCGACGAUCCCUAGCUGGUCUGAGAGGAUGACCAGCCACACUGGAACUGAGACACGGUCCAGACUCCUACGGGAGGCAGCAGUGGGGAAUAUUGCACAAUGGGCGCAAGCCUGAUGCAGCCAUGCCGCGUGUGUGAAGAAGGCCUUAGGGUUGUAAAGCACUUUCAGCGAGGAGGAAGGCAUCACACUUAAUACGUGUGGUGAUUGACGUUACUCGCAGAAGAAGCACCGGCUAACUC